GUCGAACGGAUGAAUAAGCUUGCUUAUUUACGUUAGUGGCGCACGGGUGAGUCAUGUAUAGCUAACCUGCCCUUUAGUGGGGGACAACAGAUGGAAACGUCUGCUAAUACCCCAUACUCCUGCUUAUCAUAAGGUAAGUUGGGAAAGAUUUAUUGCUAAAGGAUGGGGCUUUAUGGUAUCAGCUAGUUGGUGGGGUAACGGCCUACCAAGGCUAUGACGCCUACCUGGUCUGAGAGGAUGAUCAGGCACACUGGAACUGAGACACGGUCCAGACUCCUACGGGAGGCAGCAGUGGGGAAUAUUGCACAAUGGAGGAAACUCUGAUGCAGCAACGCCGCGUGGAGGAUGACGCAUUUCGGUGUGUAAACUCCUUUUAUAAGGGAAGAUAAUGACGGUACCUUAUGAAUAAAGCACCGGCUAACUCCGUGCCAGCAGCCGCGGUAAUACGGAGGGUGCAAGCGUUACUCGGAAUCACUGGGCGUAAACAGGAUGCGUAGGCUGGAAAUCAAGUCGAGAGUGAAAUCCAACGGCUCAACCGUUGAACUGCUCUCGAAACUGGUUACCUAAAAUAUGGGAGAAGUAGAUGGAAUUGGUGGUGUAAGGGUAAAAUCCGUAGAUAUCACCCGGAAUACCGAUUGCGAAGGCGAUCUACUGGAACAUUAUUGACGCUGAAGCAUGAAAGCGUGGGGAGCAAACAAGAUUAGAUACCCUGGUAGUCCACGCCCUAAACGAUGCACACUAGUUGUUGCGAUGCUAGUCAUUGCAGUAAUGCACUUAACAGAUUAAGUGUGCCGCCUGGGGAGUACGGUCGCAAGAAUAAAA
rnacentral:rRNA from 1 species